CAGAGAUGAACAUGAACAAAUAAUUACAUGAAUUGAAUCACAAUCUGAAGUUAAAUGUCACGAAAAUUUAAUUUAAACAAACAAACAUACAAUUUGAGUUUAGGGAGAUCAAAUUGGAUAAUAGUUGAAUCUGGGGGUGGCGCGUCGCUGGUUCGUCAUCGUUGGUGUUUCUCGACUGUUGGAGGUGAAGGCCGGAUCUGAGCGAGGGAAGGCCAGUCAUCGCUGGGGCUGGUUCGUGGAGGGAGUGGGGUCUCGUGGUGGCGUGGAGCAGCGCUGGUAUGCUGGUGUUGUUGUCACCGAUGGGGGGCUGCUGGUGGCGUUGAAGAAGAGGGAGGCGAGCUGAUCGACGUGAAUAGAGAGGGGUCGGAGGACCAUGGCUGGGACUAGCCAUCGUUGGUGGCACUGAUUUUGGAGAGGGGAGAGAGGAGAAGGAGUCUCGUCGGUAACAGAGAGAGAGACAGCGGUAAGAGAGUUUUGAGAGAGAGAAAGUAGAGAGGGAGUGUAUGGGGAAGGCUGCU
rnacentral:lncRNA from 1 species